CCUACGGGAGGCAGCAGUAGGGAAUCUUCCACAAUGGACGAAAGCCUGACGGAGCAACGCCGCGUGAGUGAAGAAGGGUUUCGGCUUGUAAAGUUCUGUUGGUAGUGAAGAAAGAGAGAGGUAGCAAUUAGCCAUUAUUUGACGCUAACUACUUACAAAGUAACGGCUAACUACGUGCCAGCAGCCGUGGUAAUAUGUAGGUUGCAUGCGUGGUCCGGAUGUAUUGGGGGUAAAGCGAGUGCAGACGGUUCAAUAAUGCUGAUGUGAAAGCCUUCGGAUCAAUAGGAGUAUUGCAACAGAGACUGUUGAACUUGAGUGCAGAAGAGGAGAGUGGAACUCCAUGUGUAGCGGUGGAAUGCGUAGAUAUAUGGAAGAACACCAGUGGCGAAGGCGGCUCGCUGGGCUGCAACUGACGCUGAGGCUCGAAAGCAUGGGGAGCAAACAGGAUUAGAUACCCUAGUAGUC
rnacentral:rRNA from 1 species